rnacentral:rRNA from 1 species
CCUACGGGAGGCAGCAGUGGGGGAUAUUGCACAAUGGGGGAAACCCUGAUGCAGCGACGCCGCGUGGGCGAAGAAGUCUUUCGGUAUGUAAAGCCCUAUCAGCAGGGAAGCAGCACUGACGGUACCUGAGUAAGAAGCACCGGCUAAAUACGUGCCAGCAGCCGCGGGAAUACGUAUGGUGCAAGCGUUAUCCGGAUUUACUGGGGGUAAAGGGAGCGCAGGCGGCACGGCAAGCCUGAUGUGAAAGCCCGCGGCCCAACCGCGGGACUGCAUUGGGAACUACCGGGCGGGAGUGCCGGAGAGGUAGGCGGAAUUCCUAGUGUAGCGGUGAAAUGCGUAGAUAUUAGGAGGAACACCAGUGGCGAAGGCGGCCUACUGGACGGUGACUGACGCUGAGGCUCGAAAGCGUGGGGAGCAAACAGGAUUAGAUACCCCGGUAGUC